UACGUAGGUGACAAGCGUUGUCCGGAAUUAUUGGGCGUAAAGCGCGCGCAGGCGGUCCUUUAAGUCUGAUGUGAAAGCCCACGGCUCAACCGUGGAGGGUCAUUGGAAACUGGGGGACUUGAGUACAGAAGAGAAGAGUGGAAUUCCACGUGUAGCGGUGAAAUGCGUAGAGAUGUGGAGGAACACCAGUGGCGAAGGCGACUCUUUGGUCUGUAACUGACGCUGAGGAGCGAAAGCAUGGGGAGCGAACAGG
rnacentral:rRNA from 1 species